rnacentral:rRNA from 1 species
AUUGAACGCUGGCGGCAGGCCUAACACAUGCAAGUCGAGCGGAUGACGGGAGCUUGCUCCUUGAUUCAGCGGCGGACGGGUGAGUAAUGCCUAGGAAUCUGCCUGGUAGUGGGGGGCAACGUUUCGAAAGGAACGCUAAUACCGCAUACGUCCUACGGGAGAAAGCAGGGGACCUUCGGGCCUUGCGCUAUCAGAUGAGCCUAGGUCGGAUUAGCUAGUUGGUGGGGUAAUGGCUCACCAAGGCGACGAUCCGUAACUGGUCUGAGAGGAUGAUCAGUCACACUGGAACUGAGACACGGUCCAGACUCCUACGGGAGGCAGCAGUGGGGAAUAUUGGACAAUGGGCGAAAGCCUGAUCCAGCCAUGCCGCGUGUGUGAAGAAGGUCUUCGGAUUGUAAAGCACUUUAAGUUGGGAGGAAGGGCAGUAAGCUAAUACCUUGCUGUCUUGACGUUACCGACAGAAUAAGCACCGGCUAACUCUGUGCCAGCAGCCGCGGUAAUACAGAGGGUGCAAGCGUUAAUCGGAAUUACUGGGCGUAAAGCGCGCGUAGGUGGUUUGUUAAGUUGGAUGUGAAAGCCCCGGGCUCAACCUGGGAACUGCAUCCAAAACUGGCAAGCUAGAGUACGGUAGAGGGUGGUGGAAUUUCCUGUGUAGCGGUGAAAUGCGUAGAUAUAGGAAGGAACACCAGUGGCGAAGGCGACCACCUGGACUGAUACUGACACUGAGGUGCGAAGGCGUGGGGAGCAAA